rnacentral:rRNA from 1 species
UUAUGGCUCAGGAUGAACGCUGGCGGCGUGUUUAACACAUGCAAGUCGAGCGAGAAGUUCUCAGCAGAUUCUUCGGAUGAUGCAGAGUACGGAAAGCGGCGGACGGGUGAGUAACGCGUAGGCAACCUGCCCCCUGCAGAGGGAUAGCCUCGGGAAACCGGGAUUAAAACCUCAUAACGCGCAACUGAGACAUCUCAGAUGCGCCAAAGAUUUAUCGGCAGGGGAUGGGCCUGCGUCUGAUUAGUUAGUUGGUGGGGUAACGGCCUACCAAGGCGACGAUCAGUAGCCGACCUGAGAGGGUGAUCGGCCACAUUGGAACUGAGACACGGUCCAAACUCCUACGGGAGGCAGCAGUGGAGAAUCUUGCACAAUGGGCGCAAGCCUGAUGCAGCAACGCCGCGUGAAGGAUGAAGGCCCUUGGGUCGUAAACUUCUGUUCUAAGGGAAGAUAGUGACGGUACCUUAGGAGCAAGUCCCGGCUAACUACGUGCCAGCAGCCGC